rnacentral:rRNA from 1 species
AGUGAACGCUGGCGGUAGGCCUAACACAUGCAAGUCGAACGGCAGCACAGGAGAGCUUGUUCUCUGGGUGGCGAGUGGCGGACGAGUGAGGAAUACAUCGGAAUCUACUCUGUCGUGGGGGAUAACGUAGGGAAACUUACGCUAAUACCGCAUACGACCUACGGGUGAAAGCAGGGGACCUUCGGGCCUUGCGCGAUUGAAUGAGCCGAUGUCGGAUUAGCUAGUUGGCGGGGUAAAGGCCCACCAAGGCGACGAUCCGUAGCUGGUCUGGAAGGAUGAGCGGCCAAACUGGAACUGAGAAACGGUCCAGACUCCUACGGGAGUCAGCAGUGGGGAAUAUUGGACAAUGGGCGCAAGCCUGAUCCAGCCAUACCGCGUGGGUGAAGAAGGCCUUCGGGUUGUAAAGCCCUUUUGUUGGGAAAGAAAUCCAGCUGGCUAAUACCCGGUUGGGAUGACGGUACCCAAAGAAUAAGCACCGGCUAACUUCGUGCCAGCCGCCGCAGUAA